GGGGCGGCGGCGGCAGCCCGCGGGCGGCUCUCGCGGCCGGUGCCGCCGCUGCCGCCGAGGGCACCCGCGGGGCUGCUGGCGAGGCGGCUCCGGGCGUCCCGGGCGCGGGGCCGCGCUGGAGGCGGGAGCUUGCCUUCGCUCGCCGCUGCCUAGGGGGAGAAGGAGGCUUUUCGCGGCUUCUGGAGACGCGCUUAGCUCGUUAUCGAAACCCAGCUCCGCACGUGCCAGGUUCUUACUGCAGCUGAACGCGCAGGGAAAAAGGCCAGAUGGAGUCAGAUGCGAAAGACGAAUGAUGCAGUUUUAUGCUAGUUAAACUACUAAAAAUGCAGGCGUACUUCACCACACGGUGCAGCAACCGAGUGGUGAAUAUUGCUAGCGAACAGGUUUCACUGGUUAAUGCAAAGUAACUUGUGACAAAUAUGCACAGCACAUGCUAAUUAAUUAAAUGUUUGUUAGAUGCUCUUUGUGUCUGUUGAUAAGAGAGAAGACCGUUUCAGGUGAAUCAGUGCUAAGUGUCUUUGGUAACUUGUUUAUACCGACACAGUAAUUCUUAAGCAUUCCUGAUGCAUUUAUUAAAAGCAUUUGGUGCUGUUGAUAUAAAUCAUCCUGUGAGUAUUUUUGGCAUGUUAUGUACUAUAACUGUGCAAAUCAUGUUGAUGAUAAGGGGGGAAAUAUAAGAAAACAGAAGAAUACUAGGAAAGGAAUAACCAGUACCAUGCUGUUCAGUUUAAGCUCCACUUAGAUGUAAUAGUUCAGGUUCUGCUGUUGACCUUAUUAAUUAAUUCUGUUUCAGGCUUCUGAUAGAAAAGGGCAAACUUUAAACAAGUGUUAUAUCUAGGUAGACCAGUGUACAAAUUCAGUUUUUAACAAGUGUCCGAACUAAAUAACUGAGAGGAUGUAAAUUUGGGAGAAGAAACUGCCAAAGCAUGUCACAAAGGGCUGGACUUGAAAUGUGACCGAAAUAUGUUGUUUUCAGUUCUGCCUCUGAAGGUUAGAAGCAGUCUUUUAUCCCAUCCCUCUAUUCCAUAACAGUGGGUUUUAGCAAUAAGUGUUGGCACUCGCUCCAGUGCAAGCUGCUUCACGACAAAGGUGCUGGUGUUUUAGUUGCUGGUCCAAUAUUCAACGCUAACUAUGAAGGAAUCAAAGCAAUUGGGUUAAAGGGAUCUGCACUGUAGGAAUACGAAGUGGCUACUGAUGGAUCUAUUGUAAGCACAGACAUUCCCUAAGAAUGAUUUAAAAACUGUGGUUAACUUAUGCCUUGUUUUUGUAUGAGAAAUUCUAGUACAUGCUGUGUGGCUGAGCACAUGUUCAUCAGUCAGUGGUUAAAAAACACGGAUCUUCUGCUAUUAAAACAAAUUUUCAGCAAACAUAUAACUUGUGUGUCUUACUGUUCUGCUUAGCUUCUGCAUUUUUCAUUUGCUGUUUUCUGCUUCUGCUGCCCAGUCCUGACUUGUCCAGAAAGUGAAGACUCCAUCUUCAUAAAUUAUUGUUCUGUGUUGUCUGUAUGUUUGAGAAGGAAUCUCACAAAUCUGAGAACAGAUGAGCUGCCUGAAUACAACCCUAGCUUCCUGUUAAGCCAGAACAAUAUAUUCAUACAGGAAUAUAUCCUUUAAGAACCCGGAUAACCUACUGAGUAUCUUUGCUCCACUGACAGUAGCUAUAAAAAAAAAAAAAUCAUGCUGUGCAAGUGCUUCUGGAUAGCAGCUUUAUGUUCACACUCAGUUACAAUGUUCUUGCACUUCUCGUAUCGGUUUGGUUAUAUAUUCAAAAGAUUUGCCUCUUAAUGCUCUCAGUAAUAAGUUCCUUUAAUUUGUGGUUGUUCUUUCUACUUUGUUUUCUCAUAUAGUCUCUCCAUAGUCACUACAUAUUACCUGAUGUCUUAUCAAUUUUGGGGGCUGAUAACCUGUCCUUAUAAGAUCAGCAGCGGAUUCACUGAACUCUUUACCUUUUCGAGCUGACUCAACACAAUUACUAUAUCAAUGUUCUGAUACCUUCUGCAAACAAUUUGUUAGGUACUUGGCUAAAGUUUUCUAGAAAGACACCUAAAUGAAGUUUGUUAAUAAUUGAUUUACAUGCAAAAGAAGCUUGUCCGUGAAUUCCUGCUGACUACUAAUUGAGGUAUGUGUGUUUGUAUGGUCAGUUAGCUAGAUGUCAGCAGUGAUUUAACUGUUUAUGCCUCAUGUGAUCUGAGGUAUCUAGAAGUAUCAUGUGAGAUCGUGUUUGCUUUCCUGUUCCUAAUUUUAAACAGGGGCCUCUUCUGUGGCAGUCUGUUGCUGAGUAUAUAAGCUGCUUUGAGGCAUCCUCCUUGGAGAAUUCUGUGGUCAGAAUUUCAAAUGAAUUCCUGGAAAACUUUGUUCAUUGUGAAGGAAGGCUAAUUUAUAGAACAAAAAAGUUGAUGCUUGUUUGAGAAAUUUUACCAGGAAGAAGGUUGUGAUAGUUGAUGUAUGUCCAAGGCAUGUGCCUUUCAGGUAAAUGUAGUGAAAAAGGUACCAAUUGAUCGUCUCUCUGCCACACGAGUAAGAGACUUGUUUUUUCAGUUAUAUAGGUACUAUUUUCUUAUUUUUCCAACUGUUAUGAUCUUAAAGGAUCGUUCCCCCUAUUCAUUGCUUUUGUUGAUUGUUCUUUUCUUUGUUUCCUGAGAGGUGUUAACAGAAGUCACUUUUCAGGCUGCAACUUGCUUAUUGUUUUCUGCUGGGAACUGUAAGCCAGUCAUUAAGGUUUUAGUAGAGUGAUAGGCAGGGCUGUCAAUAUAUUUUAAAGCUAGCUAUUAUAAUUUUCAGAUUUGGAAAAGUCUGUAAUGUCUUUAGACACUCCAAUAAAAUUUAAAAUUGUGCUUUGCAUAAAGUUAAAUCUUAACAAAAGCACUUCUUGGGAGGAGAUCUACUGGUUUUGUCAGGCCAGCUGAAGCAGAAACCACUGAAAGAUAUUGGAGUAUUAGGAGCAAACUGAGCUCGUUAAUGUAUCAGAAUGAGUUCUGCUGGAAUUACAGUCUCUGUGAGAAUAUGCUAAAGCUGAUUAAAUCUGACAAACACUUUUUUCUGCCUAAUAUGAAAGUUCCAUUCUCUUUCCAAAAGUCCCAGUUCAGAAGUCAGUACAUGUAUUAUACAACUGCAAAUUAGAAAAGCUGGGGUUCUGUUUGAGCUCUUUGAUUGGAGAUCCAGUUUUAAAGAAUGCUGAUCUAUUUUGCAAAAGUUGACUUGCUUGUUAUUUUGUAAAUUUAUAAGGUCAGUCUGUAGGCUUUAAAAAUCAGAACCUCUUGUAAUGCUUCCAGCAAAAAGGCUUAGAAACUAUGGAUAUUGGUAGGUGAUAGGAUGAAGAGAGAACUUACUUGCAAAUUACUUUACCUAGAAGUAUUUUCCAUGUAUGGUCAGAGAGCAAAGGGAAAUAUUUUUUUCUGUCGCUUUGAAAUUCCAUUACAGAAGAUUCAGAAAGCUAUUGUUCUUCUUCCAGUGGAAUUAAUCUUCAGUGUGGUCUGCUGACUUUUUUCUUUUCCAACCUGUUACUUAUCAAAAAGCCACUAAAUAGUUCUCUAGCCAAAAUGUAAAUCAUUAACGCUGUUAAAUUAUGUUGGGUGAGGAUUGAUGAUUUUGCAUGUUGUUUUCCAUAAUCUGAAAAAUCAAAAUUUACACUUCUCAUUUUGUUUUCUAUAGCUUCAUCAUGAACCCUUUUCAGUUUGCAAAAUAUACUUCUGAAAAUAAAACAUGGGCUGUGAAGUUUCAGUGACUAACAGCUUCACUGUCAAUAUAAAAAUGUUUUAUAUGGCUCUGUAAAUCUGAAGAACAUCUUUGUGUUAAUUCUCACUUUAUAAACGAACAGGGAUAACACCUGCACAUGAGACUUUAUUUUUAAACAGCAAUGUCAUAUCUUGGUACAGGCAGAAGUUGUCCCUUAGCUUUUGCUUAGAAUUAUAUGAAAUUAUCACUUCCCUAUCUUUUGUUCAGUUAACCAAUUUGUUCUUUGUCACUCCUUGAAUAAAAAUUAGUGUGUCUUUGCUUUAAAUUUGAUGCAGGAGCAUAGCCUUUUUCCUCAAAAAAAAUUGAGGUUUAAAUGUUUUAACUAAAUUAAACUUGUAGUUCAUCUAAGAUCACUCUAGUAAUUCCAACUGAAACUAUACAAUUUACUGAUUUCAGUACUGUUGUUGAUAAAUGUAACUUAUUAUUCUUCUGAGUCACUCAGCUACUUUGUUUUGCACUGGAAUGGAAGACCAAAUCAACCUGUUUUGUCCUUGGCAGGUCUGCUGCCGAAACUGGCCAGCCGUGAAUGAUUGAUAUAAAUAGAAUUACAUUCCAUUCUUUUUAUAAUUGAGAGCUCCGAUACAGCAGCCAGAACAGACAUGAGGCUGUUGAACAAGCUGUUGCCUUAUAGUUCUAUAAGCAGUAACUAAACAGCAUUUUGUGAGGUUCCAAGACUGAACUGCAGUAAACUUUUUCCAGUGCAUGAUGCAAUACUAUAAUCUCUCUUACUAUGCUUUCCAGUACGUCAGAGUCCUUGAAAUAUGACCUAAAAUAAACUGUGGUGAGCUACUGGGUCUUUAAAUGUUUCACUUAGGCUUUUAGUGUUUUUUAUUUCUGUAAUCUAAUGAAAGUAGGGGUAGUAAAUAAAGAAAUCCUGAGGUAGUAUCUUCUGCGGUGGGGCAGCUGGAAUAGUGGAAGGGUGCAAGAGACUAAUUGUCCCAGCCUAUAUUUAGUCUGAAGUUGUGUCCUUUUCCAGUUCUGCAGUAAAUGUUUUCCUGAAAACCUAUCUGGCUUUCUAGUGAAAUUAGCUGUUCCAGUAAAAGAUAGUAUCCCUUUCUUCAAGCCAUUGCUAGGUAUUGUAAAGCAGACUUACUUACUGUUCUCUCUUGCCUUCUCCAGACCUCCUUCCUCAUCCUACUUUUCUCAACUUGCAAAAUAAACUUAUGGAGCUCUUUUCUCAGCAGUCCCUCAGGUGUUUUUCUCAGUGAUGUAUUCUUGAGACUUUUGCGGUGAGGAGACUAUUCUGGAGAAAGAACAGUAUAUACAUGCUUGUGUCAGAAACAGCCUAAAUUCUCUGUACAGUGGAAGCUGACUGAGAUUAAAUGAAAAAUUUUAAUGAAAAUAAAAUGAAAAAUUAUAUAUUGAUGUGUAAAUCACUAUCUGAGCACUGUAGAAGAAAACAGAAUGAGAGUUGCAUGAGUGGGAUAUGGUUUUGCUGUAGGGCAGUAUCUCAGCUAUGUCAGAGAGCUUGUCUAAGAAUGCUCAACUGGCAGAUGAGCAGAAUAACGGGGCCCAUAAUUCAAUAAGAAAAGAGCCAUCACCAUUCGUUUCUUUAUAUCAAAGUUUCAGAAUGUUCAAAACAAACAAAAAAAACCUGCAGACAGGAAACUAUUUGCAGGGUGAAAGAUGGUAUGUGCUCUUAGGACUGGAGUUUUGGCUCGGUGGCCCGGUAGCUGUGCAUCCAUUUCCAUUUGUAACUAACCUUGUUCUGUUUGUGAGCGUUGUGUUCUGAGGCAGACCCAAAGUCUUUGUUCAGGCUGUACUGUAGAGCUAUGCAUGACUUCAGUUUGCUUUUUCACUUUUUAGUUGGAGUACAGAGCUUGCUUUACUUGACAGUAUGUGGUUACCUCUUUGAACGUAGCAGAAAUAAUUUUUUUUGAAAUAUUCUCCAGAAUUGGGAGCAAGUGUGUGUGUAUGUAUAUGUACACAUAUAUACACAUACAUAUAUACACACAUGCACACUAGCUGCUUCACUUUUGCUGGAGCUAGCAUUUAAAAGCAAAACAGAAAAAUUUUAGCUUCAGAUAUGAUCUGAAGUAAACUUGGCAACGUACUGUGCUUUCAGUGAGAAGUAUUCUCGGUCGCUCAGCAAACUGAGCGUAGGCCUGUAGUUAAAUGCUUCAAGAUCAAACUUUUGACAUGUAAAUAGGGCACAGUUGUACAUGCACAAAAAGUGGGAAAAGCUGAGGAGAUGGAAAAAAUAAAGCUGAAAGGUGUCCAACUCAUAAUAUUUUCCUAAUAUGGAGAGACUUUUCAGUUACAGAAGUACAUUUGUCUUGCUUGUUUGUGGGAGAAAAUAUUAAACAUCAUAAAAAUUAGGAAGCUCCUCUGUAAACUUGCUGCUGAAAAUAAGAGCCUUUCUGAGGCUUAGUUCUGCUUGGGAAGUUUACCUCCUCUCUAGCCUGUUUUUUAAAAUAAAUAAGUGAAAAUAAAAUUCCACUGAAGGAAUACUGGCAACAAGCACAUACCUUAAUAAUAGCGCACUUCAGAGAAGGUGCAAAUACAAGACCCUUCCCUCCAUGUAUUACUGAGGUAACUGGGGGCGGGGGGGACAGUGCCAAGACCAAAACUGUUGUUACCUACCAACCUGAAUGCAAAAGAUACCAACCUAUAUUUGCAUUAUUAUGCCAUCCAACUAAAUUUUGUGUAAUAAAAGUGUAGCAGUAAGAGAUGAAGUGAAAAUGAAAAACUUGGUAGUUUGCAGGUACUGUUUAAAAAGAACAGAAACACUUACCUAUUCAGUUGUAGUUGUCUGAAGAAAAAAUCCUCUUUCAGAAAGAUUGUUUAUACUUUAGAAGACAGAUAGCUUUGAUAAGGUAUGAGACAAUCUGUUGUUGAUAGUCGUGACCUAAUGUGACCUGUUCCUAUGCAGUCUGCUCUUUGAAGUUACUGAACUGUUGCUCUUGAAUUAUUUACAUGGUGGUUCCCCAGCUAAUCACUUUUGAAAAUCCAUCAAGAUAAAAGGGCUACAGUAUUACAGAAUAUUAAAGCUUGUAUAUUAACCUAUAAUUAAAAAUCUGUAAUGAAUUUCAAAUUAGUCUAUAUCUACUUCUUAUAUC